AUGUUUAUUGGCGGCCUUAGCUGGGACACUACAAAGAAAGAUCUGAAGGACUAUUUCUCUAAAUUUGGUGAAGUUGUAGACUGCACUCUGAAGUUAGAUCCCAUCACUGGGCGAUCGAGAGGUUUCGGCUUUGUACUCUUCAAAGAAUCGGAGAGCGUAGAUAAGGUCAUGGACCAGAAAGAACACAAGCUGAAUGGAAAGGUCAUUGAUCCAAAAAGAGCUAAAGCCAUGAAAACAAAAGAACCUGUUAAAAAGAUUUUUGUUGGUGGCUUAUCUCCAGACACACCUGAGGAGAAAAUAAGGGAAUAUUUUGGAGGUUUUGGUGAGGUUGAAUCAAUAGAGCUCCCUAUGGACAACAAGACUAACAAGAGACGUGGAUUUUGCUUCAUUACUUUCAAGGAGGAGGAACCAGUGAAGAAAAUAAUGGAAAAAAAAUACCACAAUGUUGGGCUUAGUAAAUGUGAAAUAAAAGUAGCCAUGUCAAAGGAACAGUACCAGCAGCAGCAGCAGUGGGGGAGUCGAGGAGGAUUUGUUGGAAGAGCUCGAGGAAGAGGUGGAGGCCCCAGUCAAAACUGGAACCAGGGAUACAGCAACUACUGGAAUCAGGGUUAUGGGAACUAUGGCUACAACAGCCAAGGGUAUGGAGGUUAUGGAGGAUAUGACUACACUGGUUACAACAACUACUAUGGAUAUGGUGACUAUAGCAAUCAGCAGAGUGGUUAUGGGAAAGUAUCUCGGCGAGGUGGUCAUCAAAAUAGCUACAAACCAUACUAAAUUAUUCCGUUUGCAACUUACCCCAAACAGCGGGAACUUCAUUGCAGGCCCUGUGUCGCGCUGACUUCACGAUUCUCACAGGCCCGCUCAAUGCGGACAGGGUACGAGAUGCUCACGCUCUCGAAUGCUGCCGUUUGGUGGAGACGCAGUAUUUUCUCAUUUGAAGAUUCAUUUGAGGUGGCGCAUGCUACCUGCUAAUAGCGGUUCAAACUAAUUUUUGUAUCAAGCCCAUGAAUUGGAAGUAAGACGUUGGGUCCCUCUGAAGUUUAAUUGAGUUUUCAUUAAGACAAAAUUGCUUUCACGGUCUUAUUUCUUAAUUGCUAUGCUUAAGAAUCAAUUUGGUUUAUGCCCCUUCUUCAGUAUUGUAGCACAAGUCUUGUGUUCAGAAGCCUAGUGUGACAGUGUCAUGAUGUAGUAGUGUCUUACUGGUUUUUUAAUAAAUCUUUUUGUAUAAACAUG